ACCAGAGUCAGAGCAGCUUACAUAUAGCCUGAGUGUCUGGCUUUGGGCAUUUUGGGAAGACUUCGGGUCUAAAGUUCUACAUCUUCCCGUGCUAGGACCCGAAGGAAACUUGAAAACAACAGGUGAGUUAAUUAAGGGGUUAACUCCAGGAGGCGAGUCAUAAAAGUUCAAAGACACUCCGAAAACUUGUAUCUUUCGAUUGAUGGACAAAUGUGUUAACCAAUGGAAAUCAAAACCCAGGCAUUACUUCAUCAUGCUAAAUUAUCAUUGGCUGCCAGUCCCCGAGGGCCGGACCGCAGGGCUGGUGGUUAACCCUUUCAGGGACGAUUUUUUGCCGUCGACAUUAAUUUUAUUUUGAAAGAUAAAGUAGGAACAGAUGAAAAGCCCAGAAAGGUCCUCAGACCUUCAAGCGUCGUCGCCUUUGGCUCUCACCCCAGCAGACUGCAUCCCGGGUCCACGAGAUCUGCUGGGCAGAAACCGAGAGAGUCAGCUGUCAUCGCCCGCAGCUGAGGUCUGAGAACGCGCACCCUGCGUGCUCGCCACAGGGUCUGGGAGACCGCUAUCUGCACCCUGCGCCUUGACAUCAACCUCUGCACCCGUGUCUCCCACGGCGAAUCGUGCUUGAUGUCUGCCCUGGGCAUGGCAAGGACCCGUCAGCAUAACUUCGCAAGUCCUCACUCGCCUGGGUCAACUUACCUGUCUGCGCGGACAGCUGGAGGCUCCUACAGGGUUGGAAAGUUGGAUGUUCUACCAGAGUCCCGACUUCUCAGCCUGGGAGCUGUGUGCUGUGGAUUCAUUCUUCGACUCCAUGAGACAAGAACCUAGCUGUCCCGCUUCAUCUCGGUGCAGAAACCUGGGAUCACUUCCAGCAAAGGAUUGGGCACCCCCAGAAUGACCUCCCGUGCCUUUGACUUCUGCUCCUGAACUCGGGAAUCCAUUCGUCAGCCUGCGCCUUGACAUCAACCUCUGCAUCUGUGUCUCCCACGGCGAAUCGUGCUUAAUGUCUGUCCUGGGCAUGGCAAGGACCCGUCAGCAUAACUUCGCAAGUCCUCACUCACCUGGGUCAACUUACCUGUCUGCGCGGACAGCUGGAUGCUCCUACAGGGUUGGAAAGUUGGAUGUUCCUACCAGAGUCCCGACUUUUAUUUAUUUAUUUGACAAAGAUUACAAGUAUA